UCUUCCGGGAGGCAGCAGGGGGAAUAUUGCCACAAUGGCGCCAAGCCUGAUGCAGCCAUGCGCGUGUAUGAAGAAGGCUUUCGGGUUGUAAAGUACUUUCAGGCGGGGAGGAAGGGAGUAAAGUUAAUACCUUUGCUCAUUGACGUUACCCGCAGAAGAAGCACCGGCUAACUCCGUGCCAGCAGCCGCGGUAUACGGAGGGUGCAAGCGUUAAUCGGAAUUACUGGGCGUAAAGCGCACGCAGGCGGUUUGUUAAGUCAGAUGUGAAAUCCCCGGGCUCAACUGGGAACUGCAUCUGAUACUGGCAAGCUUGAGUCUCGUAGAGGGGGGUAGAAUUCCAGGUGUAGCGGUGAAAUGCGUAGAGAUCUGGAGGAAUACCGGUGGCGAAGGCGGCCCCCUGGACGAAGACUGACGCUCAGGUGCGAAAGCGUGGGGAGCAAACAGGAUUAGAUACCCUGGUAGUCCACGCCGUAAACGAUGUCGACUUGGAGGUUGUGCCCUUGAGGCGUGGCUUCCGGAGCUAACGCGUUAAGUCGACCGCCUGGGGAGUACGGCCGCAAGGUUAAAACUCAAAUGAAUUGACGGGGGCCCGCACAAGCGGUGGAGCAUGUGGUUUAAUUCGAUGCAACGCGAAGAACCUUACCUGGUCUUGACAUCCACGGAAGUUUUCAGAGAUGAGAAUGUGCCUUCGGGAACCGUGAGACAGGUGCUGCAUGGCUGUCGUCAGCUCGUGUUGUGAAAUGUUGGGUUAAGUCCCGCAACGAGCGCAACCCUUAUCCUUUGUUGCCAGCGGUCCGGCCGGGAACUCAAAGGAGACUGCCAGUGAUAAACUGGAGGAAGGUGGGGAUGACGUCAAGUCAUCAUGGCCCUUACGACCAGGGCUACACACGUGCUACAAUGGCGCAUACAAAGAGAAGCGACCUCGCGAGAGCAAGCGGACCUCAUAAAGUGCGUCGUAGUCCGGAUUGGAGUCUGCAACUCGACUCCAUGAAGUCGGAAUCGCUAGUAAUCGUGGAUCAGAAUGCCACGGUGAAUACGUUCCCGGGCCUUGUACACACCGCCCGUCACACCAUGGGAGUGGGUUGCAAAAGAAGUAGGUAGCUUAACCUUUUCGCGCGAGGCGGCCG
rnacentral:rRNA from 1 species